AUGCCCAAUGGCAGUCUCGACAGUCACCUUUACAGUACGCAGGAUGUAUUGACGUGGCCGGUCAGGCAUGAGAUAGUGUUGGGGAUCAGCUCAGCGCUUCUGUAUUUGCACCAAGAGUGGGAGCAAUGUGUAUUGCACCGGGACAUCAAGCCGAGCAACAUCAUGCUGGACACGUGCUUCAGCACCAAACUUGGCGACUUCGGGCUCGCAAGGCUCGUUGACCAUUGCCAUGGGUCGCACACGACAGAUCUCGCCGGCACCAUGGGGUAUAUGGACCCGGACUGCAUGGUGACAGGCAGGGCCACCACCGAGUUAGACAUCUACAGCUUUGGCGUCGUCCUACUCGAGAUAGCCUGUGGACGCAGGCCUGUCGUGGUCCUGCCAGAUGACAGUGUGAUCCACCUGGCUAAACGGGUGUCGGAGUUGUGCAGCCAGGGAAGGGUCCUUGACGCUGCGGACUCAAGGCUGAUCGGGGAGUUCGACGUCCGGGAAAUGGAAUGCGCGAUCAUCGUCGGGCUCUGGUGCACUGCCCAUGACCGGAGCCUGAGACCUUCCAUUAGGCAGGCCACCAGCGUGCUAAGGUUCGAGGCUCCACUACCGAGCCUCCCCACAAGGAUGCCGGUUGGCCCACCAGGCUCUCUUCUUCCAUCUUUGCUUGUUUCUGAUGACCAUAGCAAUAAAACUAGCAGCACGCACCUCAGCUAG
rnacentral:rRNA from 1 species